AACAAGGCGUACCUGCGGACCUGCGGAAGGAUCAUUACCGAGUUUACAACUCCCAAACCCCUGUGAACAUACCAAUUGUUGCCUCGGCGGAUCAGCCCGCUCCCGGUAAAACGGGACGGCCCGCCAGAGGACCCCUAAACUCUGUUUCUAUAUGUAACUUCUGAGUAAAACCAUAAAUAAAUCAAAACUUUUAACAACGGAUCU
rnacentral:misc_RNA from 1 species